AGCGAACGCUGGCGGCAGGCCUAACACAUGCAAGUCGAACGAACCCUUCGGGGUUAGUGGCGGACGGGUGAGUAACACGUGGGAACGUGCCUUUAGGUUCGGAAUAACUCAGGGAAACUUGUGCUAAUACCGAAUGUGCCCUUCGGGGGAAAGAUUUAUCGCCGAAAGAGCGGCCCGCGUUAGAUUAGCUAGUUGGUGAGGUAAAGGCUCACCAAGGCUACGAUCUAUAGCUGGUCUGAGAGGAUGAUCAGCCACACUGGGACUGAGACACGGCCCAGACUCCUACGGGAGGCAGCAGUGGGGAAUCUUGCGCAAUGGGCGAAAGCCUGACGCAGCCAUGCCGCGUGAAUGAUGAAGGUCUUAGGAUUGUAAAAUUCUUUUACCAGGGACGAUAAUGACGGUACCUGGAGAAAAAGCCCCGGCUAACUUCGUGCCAGCAGCAGAUAAUGACU
rnacentral:rRNA from 1 species